AGACCCUGUCUUUAUUUAAAAUUAAGGAAAAAUAAAGAUACGAUACUGUAUGCAGAUUUAAAUCAUUUUGAGCAAGUCGUAUUUUCUUGCCACCUUGGAAGAGUCAAUUAACAUUUAUUGCUGGCCACAUGGCAGACAAUAUGCUCAAUGCUUCAUGGGCAUUAUCUCAUUUCUGUUUUAAAUUACAAAAUGAAGUCUAUGGAUGUUGAAAAUUUUGAAAGAUAUAGAAAAACACAGGAUAAAAAUUGAGAGGCUCUCGUCUCUUCUGCCUUCCCUUACCUUCUCUCUCACUGCUCUCUUUCCCUACAGCUUACCCUAGUGGUACAUGUAUGGUUGUGUGCCGGAUAUGUAUGUGUGUGUUUGUGGGUAGCUGUGUGUACAUACACACAUAACCAUACAAACAAGACCAUAGCUAUUUAUUGUAUUAAGACUUUUCCCCCCUUUUUAAUAGUGUAAUUUGGAUAUUUUCCUGCCUUCUACCAAAUACAUAAAUAUCAUGUUUCUUAAUACUCUUAAUAGUCUAUUCCAUAGUUUAGACUGUAUUUAACAACUCCCUUAUCAUUAGAUAUUUAGGCUUGUCCAGCUUUUUGCUAUCACAAACAGGGAUCUUGGUGUAUAUGUGAAUGUUGGCAGCAGGUUAGCAGAGCACCAGAAGUGGGACUACUGGUCAAACCUUUGCACAAAAAUCAUACAGCCUCUAAUAGCAUUUCCCAGAGAAGAAAAGGGCCUUGUCUGGAACACAGAUCAAGAACUCUUAACUUUUUCUGAUCCAUGCUUUACAUUGCCACUUGAUAAAUACUACAUGUCAUCUCUAAGUACCACUAAAUCUCCCAUCUGGAGAGAUGGGACACUCUCCUUUAUACCUUUGAUGACUUUACUACCCAUGAUAAAAGCAGGAGAUCCCACCUUCCAGCUGCCCCUUCUUAAACAUCUAACUCUGUGCAAGUCCCAACCCUCAUUUAAUCACUUUGCUACUUCAUUGCAUUCAUCACACCAACUUGCAGUUAUUUGUACAGUUGUUCAUCUUCCAUUAGACUGAGCCCUCUGAGGGCAGGAAAUAUUUUUCAUUCUUCUUGGAACUUCCUUUUCCUAACAUAGUGUCUGAGAUGCUCAAUAAACUUUUUUUUGAGUGAAUAAAAAAUAAAUGAGGGAGUAGAAUACCUAGAUGAAUUCAGUUAUAAAAUGGCUCCAGGUACUGAAAUUGUCCAUUUUCAUUUUUAUGUUUUUGCAAUAAGAAAGAUGAACAUGCAUCUCCCCUAGUGCUACUUUUUUCAAAACUAAAUAUUCUAAUUCCAAGGCUUUAUUUCCGUCAAAUAACUACCACUUCCAAAUUCUUCUGUUAUUUUUAUUGUUCUCCAGGAUCUCUCCAUCUCAAUCAUGUCAUACAUUGGAAACAAUUCUCUGACACUUCAUCUAUAUACAAUCAACACUUUGUUAGGCUCUUGUAGCUGCCUCAUUUUUUGUAACACAAUAGAAUACUUGCCUUAAUAAUAAAUUAUAUUUGCCUUACAGUAUGGCUUAUUAGAUACCCAAAAUGUUUUCUGCCAUGCUUUCGAAAUGUUUUGACUGCAUGACAUUCUAUGGUGUUAAAAUUCCCCAAAAUGAAUGAUUUAUACUGCAUUUGCCUUAAUUGGAAUCUAUCCUGUUUUCAUCUUUCCUACUUUGACAGUCAUCUCAAUGUAAAUCCUGUGUCAGAGGUGCUUAUCUGUCUCUUUGCUACUUUUCUUUGAAAACUAAACAUAAACACAAGAAAUUUCACAUAGUAAAACUAGUAAGAUCUGGGUUUAUAAAUAUAAAUGGUGCAUCUGUGGCGGCAGAGCUCUGUCUCCAACUUCUUGGAGAUAAACAAGUUCAUAGUUAGAAAUGCUCUAGAAGUAAACAGGAAACCUGCUACACAAAUUGUGAAAUAUAAGUAUGUUUUAUAGAAGUCCUGAAAUUGUAUUUUUCAACAAGUUAAAACAGAAAAACCUAACACUACCAUAUCCAUUAAAUAUUAAUUCUCUCUUCCUCAAAUGUUUUACUCAUAUCUAUGCCUGUCCCUUUGGAACAUUUUUCAGUCAAAUUCAUAACACUGUCUUGAUUCCAAGCCUCAGGAGAACAUUUGAAUGAAAUUUUCAAAUGCUUCAAUUUUUAUAUCAUCCAAUGUGGAAUUCACAUUUACUGAGCACCUGCAAUGAGCUAGGAUCUGUACUACAUACUUUUAAAAAUACAUUAUUUUUCCUAAGAAAGUUCUGAGGUAGAUAUAUUAUUUUACAGAUGAGGAAACAGAGGUUCAGAGAGGUUAACUGACUUCACAAAAGUCAUAGAGCUACUAGGUAACAGAGCUCAUUGAACAUGGAGCUAGGAUUCAACCCUGGAUCGCCGUGAAGCCAUUUUGUUUCCAUGACAUCAUGACAUUGGUUAUAACACCACAAUUGUUUAGAAUAUAAGGCUUGUUUAGAAUGCAAGGCUUCCUCAAUUCUCCACCCUUCCCCUCUUGACAUCUUGCUCUUCUUCCCUUCAUCUAUUGUGUUAGUCAGGUGCAUGCUGGUCUUCCCUCUAUCAAACUGUAAGCUACUUGGAGACUUGGGAUGCCUCACUCAUCUCUAUUCCCAAACCUCAGGGUCUAUCAUUCUACCUUCUGUAUAGACAGGACUUUCAUAGUUUUGAACAAGUCAGAACCUGAAAGAAUUUGCUUCCAGAACAGGACAUUGACAGGAAAAUUAAGCAUGAUCAUGCCGAGUAAAAUAGGAAUAAGAAUUGGACCUACCUCAAGAUCUGUUGAGAAGAUUAUGAGAGAGCUGAUGGAUCUAAAAGAUUGGCGCUUGAUAGAAUUGGGAUCAUUUGUUUUGACUAGAACAAUCUCUUGCAGCUUGGAUGGAGAAACUUUACAGAGGUUUCAGCCAAACACUCAUGAAUUCUUUAAUGUGUGAAAUAAAUUUGUACAACGAAAGGCUAAAAAUUUGGGAGAUGCAGGAUGACUGAAGCCCGAUUCUGGGGGUUGUUACAGCACAGUUACAGGGUAAGUUUUUUCCAUUGUUAUUUGCUGGAAAAUUUAUUCUCCAUCUCCUUUAGUCUGUGCCUGAAUUUUGUGGGACUUGCUCGAGAAUGGUAUUCAUGCUUUAAAUCCAAGAGCCAGGAAUCAUCGCAUUUCAACAAUUUUCCUAUUUAUUUUAACCAAAACAGAGCUGGUUUCUAUAACUCAAUUUAAGAAAUUAUCCUCUUUGAUACAAUCUACUUAUGUUUGAUUGAUUUUAGAAUAAACUAACAGAUACACAAGAGCUUAUCAAGCUAGCUCGGUUCAGUGGAGAACUAUAGCAGAAACAGCAGGUUUCUAUUUGGCACAUUUUGGAUUUAUCUGGACGCAAGAGGAUGUGAAAAGAACACCUUUCAGACAAAAGCCAGUCUUGAGUAGGAAUUUAGUGUUCCUUGCCCAAACAGCUUAGUUUGUUUCCCAUUUUGAGUCACUAUCUGAAUCCUUUUUUAUCUCCUAUAUAGAACAAAUUCUCUCCCUCUAUUUAAUAGGCUUUCAGAUAUGAAACAGAGAGAGAGAGAGAGAGAGGAAGGAAGGAAGGGAGGGAGGGAAAGAGAAAGGGAAAGAAGGAAGGAAAAGCUCUAAUUUCUUCUGUUCUUUUGGUAACACACCUCCCCUUCACAUCCUUCAGCUGCUCCCCUUAGGGCUUUUUGUAGACACUUUUGGUGGUCUCUCCUCUCACACACUGCUCACCACUGUACUUUAUUUUGUAUCAUCUGUCUCCAUCCUUUCCCAACUCCUGAGCACUCAGCCUCCUCUGGAUCUUUUCUGGUUCCUUCGCUCCUAGAACUGUGUCUGAUGGCUUAUGAAGGCAAAUGACAAAUGUUUGCCAUAUGCACAUGUAUGUGCAUGAAUGAAUACAUCCAGGUUCUGACUUCCUCGGGGCAACCUCUACUUUCUCAAUGCCCCUCUUAAGAUGGGGGUGGGGGAGGGUCCUCCUAGAACUGAACAUGAUAUUCCAGGUGUGAUCUAAUACAUUUAAAUGUCCAAAAGCUCUUUCUUCCCUAAACGUUCCUUUUUAAAAGCUACUGUUCUCAAUUAAUGGGUGUCUCAUCUUCUUAAGUAUAUUAAUAAGAGGUAUUUUGAUGUUUCCCUCCAUUCUGUGGAUUACCUCUUGAUUCUCUGGAUUCUUUGUGAUUCCGUUUUGUUUUAAGGAUGUUCUCAGGUGUCUGGUGAUCCUUGCUUAUAAGUCCAAAUUAAUGAUGAGGCACUAAAAUGCUGAUUGGAAGCUCUCUGUGCAGGCAGGUAUUGUUGAAUAGUGGUAAACAGGGGACAUGUUCAUUUUGGAGACACUCAAAUAUCAGGACCUAUAAAUCUCUAUGCCAAGUCAGUUUCCCCAGAGUCUCUUAAUAUCAUUUCUUUCAGGUUAAAAGCCUGGUUACCAGGUUCUGGGAGUGAAGGGAGGAGUGGGGCUUAGACAAGGGUGGGGGCGGGGGUAUGUCUCACAAUUCACUAAAUACCUUCUUUUAUAUAUGUGUUCUCUGUGCAGCAUUUUACCCCCACCAUCGUCCAUGUCUGAUGCCUCAGGUUCAAUCUUGUUCAGUCUUUCCAAAGAGGAAACAUUGGUUGGGUGGGAAUGAUUGGCAGGUCGAAGAGAGAAUUUGAAGCUAUAGCUGCUCCUUUUAAAACUUCUAACUCAUCUUUGUUUUUUCAGGCCUUCCUCACACCCAUGUCUUCAGAUACCCAAGGCCUUUAAUACCCAAGUCCUUCCAGGAUUCUGCACAUCUCAUUAGCUUCAUAUUCCCGUAAGUACUUGGGUUUCUGCUUUCUCAGCUCUGAUGUGUCAUUUUCUAAUCAAUCAUCAGCAUUCCAGCUUCCAAAGUUUUGUUCAUAUAUCUUACAUGUGUUGUCUUGACCGACUUCUUUUUGGACCUUAGAUUAUUUACCUAUUUAAAUUCCUUAAUUGUUACUUUAGUGGAGUUUUGGAAGGGAACAAAAAUAUAGGCAGGUGUUUAUCACAUUUAACAAGGAACUCAAAAUUUAUAUUUAAUUCUAUUUAAUCUGGCUGCCUUCUUGCCAUCAGUCUAUUUGAAAAGUUCAUAUGGACCCAGCUCUGUCAUCAUCACAUGUUCUAUAUCCCCAAACCUUGUGACAUCUGCAAAGAAGUACAGAAGACCUCAAGAGAAGAUAAGCUAGAAUUUAUUUAUUUUUAUACCUUUUAUUCAGUUUUUAUUAAAGCUUUCCUACCUUUCCAGAUUGACACAGAAUUAUUCCAUGAAUCUGUCUAUUAAUCCAUUUACAGCAAGUGCUGGGGAUAGAAAUUAAGGUUUAAACAUAUAAUUCCUGCCAUCAAAGGACUCCCUGUUGAUUAGGGGACACAGGCAAGAAAAUAGACAGUAAGUUUGUUAAGGCAUGAACAAAGAACUGUGUUGGUACACACAGUACAGAGAGGAAGUACAAAGAGGAUGGUGCUUAAGAAGAGUUAACACCUAGACCUAAUCUUAGAGGAUGAGGAAGCAUUGGGUAGACUAGAAGACUAGGUGUAGGGGUAAAGGAAGGCAUAUCAGAGAAAAGGGAGCAGCUACAUAGAGGCAAGGACUAUGCCUCUUCUGCCUCUGAAGAGGAGAAAUUUCUUUCAAUCAAUAGAAAGUGCAGGACAAAGGGUACUAAGUCAUCUUUUGAUGGGAUAACUUGAUGUUAGUGUCCUUCCAUGAGAAAAUGGGAAGCAGCCCCUUAUAAUAAAACCUCUGGCUUUUGAAUUACCAAGUAAAACUGAGGUGUCAGCAACCCUUGGCUGAAUGUGGAACUUGCUAAUAGAACCCCUACAUUCAUGGGAAGGGAUAAAAGAGCUUUAAAAAGUACAAAAGCAUUGUGUGAAUAUAUGGGAUUAAUAUUACUACUACAAUAUUGCCUACCACCACCAUCCCCAGCCCUGAGGAGUCUUCUUAAACUUACAAAAUGAAGCUGCUUCUCUAUGGAUGUAGACAUUUCCUGGUUUCAACAUUGCACCAUAGCUAUGCAUUAUGUCAACAUUGGGAAAAGGCAGGGUGGAAGGUGCACAGGAGCUCUCUGUACAUUUCUUUGAAACUUCCUUUAUACCUUUUAAAAGUUAAAAAGCAGCAGCAGUGGCAGCUUCUCAAGGCCAAAGAUGGGGAGCUCUAUUUCAUUUGCAUUUCUACUCAGGGCUAUAAUGAAUUGAACUCAAUGUGUUGCUAAAGAUUAUUAUGAAAUUAAAAUCCAAUUAGGAUGGUCUCGUGGGUCUGGUAAAAGCUUGGAUUAGAGACCAGGCACAACACGGGGUUGGGGGAGAUGGACUGCUCAAUAGAAGUAGGGCUGAGUGGGGAGUUUAAAGCACUGGCCUCUAAGUAUAGGAACCACUGUACAAAUUUUAAAAUAUACUCAGGAUAGUUAAUAUUUGAUCAAAAUCCACUGUGAAGUGAGGAAUUUUUCCUGCUGGGCAUUCUAUUUUCCAGUUCUAUGAUCAAGCCCAGUGACUGGUAAAUACAAUAUGCCCCACUAGCCCCCAGCUUCUCCCAGCUCCUGUUCCCUCCUGGUGCUCAAAGGGAGAAAGGCUAAGAAAUUCCAAGCCCUGGUCAGGAAAGUGAUCUUGAAAUCACACACAAUGAAUAGUGCCAUCACUAAUGACUCAGCUUGUAAAGAACCAGUGAAGUGAGGAAAUUCUUUCUAUGCACAGAAUGUCUAGAUAUUUAGGCAAAAUUGAAGGGGAUGAGGCAGGAAUAACCAGGACAAACUCAGUAAGAACUUCAACCCUGGUUUUCUCAAGAUUCAGUUUAUGUGCUGAUCAUUUUCUCUCAUAUCUAAUUCCCUUACUUCCCCUGCUCUGUUUUACAUCGAAAGUGCUGACUUCAUGCAAAUUACAUGCAAUUUGCAUGUAAUUUGGAAUUUGCUCCCUGGGAAAAUCACUUCUGACUAGGUUCAGCCAAUGGGAGGCACUAACAGGAGAUUGGAGGGUAGGAGGAAGGGAGGCAUAAGGGAAUUUCUUUCCCCUCUCUGUUUCAGGUGGCAUUUCAAGAAUGUCUGUUUUUCCUCCAUGAUUUCUAUAGAUAUUCCUUAAUUUUCAAGUCUCCAUUAGCAUAGGUAUGAAGGUUUCUCAAUGUGCUCUUGCUUUGGCUUCCUUUAGUCAGAAUAGAAAGAGAAAGUUUUUUAACUUUAUUCAAACAUAUUAGGGGUUUGCUAGAGAAUACAUUAUUUGCCCCUAGUUAUCCUGAUGUUAUAAAAGGAGGCAGACCUGGACAAGUGUAAAUUAGCACAGACAUUCUAACAAUCACCAGAAAAAUGCACCCAUAAGUAGUGCCAAUGCAAGAAGUUUUGACUGUAAUGCCCGUGUGCAGUAGGCUGAAUGAUGGCCCCCAAGUAUAUCUAUAUCCUAAUCCCGAGAACUUGUGAAUGUUACUUGCUAUGCUGAAAGGGACUUUGAAGGUGUGAUUAAGGGUUUUGAGAUGGGGAGAUUUUCCUGGAUUAUAUGAAUGUGUCCUAAAUAUAAUCACACAGGUCCAUGUAAGAGGUAGGCAAGGUCAAAGGAGGAAAUAGAAGGUAAGAUAAUGAAAACAAGAGGUUGGAGGGCUGUGAGGAAGGGGGUCACAAGCCAAGAAGCAUAGGUGGCCUAGAGAAGCUAGAAAACACAAAGAAAUGGAUUUCUUAUAGAGUCUUCACGGGGGACUAGCCUUGCUCACACCUUGACUUUAGCCUAGUGAAACUGAUUUCAGACUUCUGGCCUCCAAAACUGUAAGAGAAUAGAACUGUGCUG
rnacentral:lncRNA from 1 species